GGAGAAGUAUUGAAGUGGUCGUAACUUGGCGCACUCGAAAUGCGUUUGUCACCUAGUAAGUGGCACGUGGGUUCGAAUCCCACCUUCUCCGCCA
rnacentral:tRNA from 1 species